CAGCAUGAUGCACACCCCGAGCUUCUCUGAGGUUAUCAGUGAUGAUGAAACCCCCAUUGCUUGUGCCAAAUGACACUGUAUACUGCUGCAGUUCAGCCCUUCUUUUCUCACCAUGGCUAAGCUAUGUCAAAUCAACACAUCU